CAGUAGCCGCGGGAAUACGUAGGGUGCGAGCGUUAAUCGGAAUUGCUGGGCGUAAAGCGUGCGCAGGCGGUUUUGUAAGACAGGCGUGAAAUCCCCGGGCUCAACCUGGGAAUGGCGCUUGUGACUGCAAAGCUAGAGUGCGGCAGAGGGGGAUGGAAUUCCGCGUGUAGCAGUGAAAUGCGUAGAUAUGCGGGGGAACACCGAUGGCGAAGGCAAUCCCCUGGGCCUGCACUGACGCUCAUGCACGAAAGCGUGGGGAGCAAACAGGAUUAGAUACCCGGGUAGUCCCUGUCUCUUAUAC
rnacentral:rRNA from 1 species